GACGAACGCUGGCGGCGUGCUUAACACAUGCAAGUCGAACGGAAAGGCCCUGCUUUUGUGGGGUGCUCGAGUGGCGAACGGGUGAGUAACACGUGAGUAACCUGCCCUUGACUUUGGGAUAACUUCAGGAAACUGGGGCUAAUCCCGGAUAGGAGCUCCUGCUGCAUGGUGGGGGUUGGAAAGUUUCGGCGGUUGGGGAUGGACUCGCGGCUUAUCAGCUUGUUGGUGGGGUAGUGGCUUACCAAGGCUUUGACGGGUAGCCGGCCUGAGAGGGUGACCGGCCACAUUGGGACUGAGAUACGGCCCAGACUCCUACGGGAGGCAGCAGUGGGGAAUAUGGCACAAUGGGCGGAAGCCUGAUGCAGCAACGCCGCGUGCGGGAUGACGGCCUUCGGGUUGUAAACCGCUUUCGCCUGUGACGAAGCGUGAGUGACGGUAAUGGGUAAAGAAGCACCGGCUAACUACGUG
rnacentral:rRNA from 1 species